UACCGUAUAGUCAGACCACUCGGGCU
rnacentral:piRNA from 1 species